UGUGAAUCUGUGAUUCGUCGGCCGGCAGAGCCUUUGGUUUUGACCGUCUGCCAAUGAUUAUACUGAAGGCAGGCAGAGAGUUGCAAGCCCCACACGUCCGAAAAGACUGAGUUCCAUGGUUAAAAAAAAAUGUUAUCAGAAGAGUAAAAAUGGCACUAGCAAAGUGGGUUUGCAGCAGAUGUGUAAAUAAAUGUACGGAUGGCUGUUCUACCAUGCAAGUGCGUGGCGUGUGCAUGUGUUUAUUUAUAUUCAUUCCAAGACUCUUCAAUUGUCCUCUAUGAGUUUAAGCUCUACUAUUACUUUCCUAAA